AUUGGACUGCUUUAAGAAGUCCUAACAAGUCCUAACCAAGUCCUAACAAUUCCUAACAAUUCCUAACAAAGUCCUAACAGUUCCUAACAAGUCCUAACAAGUCCUAACAAGGUCCUAACAGUUCCUAACAAAUCCGAACAGAGUCCUAACAACAGCGUGGCAAAAGAGCCAAUCAUAUGCUUCAAAAAAAUUGCCGCUCCAAGGGGGGCAAAAGAGCCAAUUAUAUGCGUCGAAACAGGUGCCCCGUGCAAACAGUGUUCUGAUAGGUUACUGACGGAGACGAUGUUACAGUUCAUCCUCAGGUAACUGUAUUUACCGUCGGCGAAUAUCUCUAGACACUAAAAACAAAACACUGGUUACACCACUUGACCAUAACGUCUGCAGCAAUAGGACAAGAGAUCGAAACAGAAAAUAGCCAUCAAGAUGCCAAAGCAAGGAAAGCCAGAUUCAUUCUGGACCGGCGUCAUGAUGCUGUUUGCCCAGGGGAAAUAUAAAUUUUCCACUGGCCAGAGACCCGGGAGCAGACGUUGGAAGGCAGUGUUAGAGAGGAUAAAGAAUUGUCCGCUGACCCCUGCAUAUGGCCUAACGGUCAGAAAAAAAGAUAUUUUUGGGAAAAAUAUUCCCUGCAAAUGUGGCUACCAUGAUCUGUUCCCCAUGGCUGGUUCUUCGCUGUAUGUGCUUGAUUCUCCAAAUGACUUGUUUUGAUGCAGAGUUUUGUGUGAUUUAGAGAAUAAGAGGAUAUAGAGAGUAAAU